AAACAUUCCUUUAGAAUUUCACUUUUUUUAAAAUUCUAAAACAAUGCAAUGUUUGUUGCUUGAAAAUUCGGGGAACCGUGCCCUAUUGUGCUGGGUUUCGAUUUCUCGCUUAUCCAAAAUCAUCAAACAUUCCUUUAGAAUUUCAUUCGUAUUUUUUAAAUUCUAAAACAAGGGGAUGUUCUAUGUUUGGGAAUUCGAGGAAUCGUGCCCUACC
rnacentral:lncRNA from 1 species